AGAGUUUGAUCCUGGCUCAGGAUAAACGCUGGCGGCGUGCAUGAGACAUGCAAGUCGAACGGACGAUCGGGGCUUGCUCUGAUCGUUAGUGGCGGACGGCUGAGUAACGCGUAGGUGACCUGCCCCGAAGUGGGGAAUAACUGCCCGAAAGGGUGGCUAAUACCGCAUGUGGUGGUGUGUUCAAUCACACCAGUAAAGCCGCAAGGCGCUUCGGGAGGGGCCUGCGUCCGAUUAGCUCGUUGGUGGGGUAACGGCUCACCAAGGCGACGAUCGGUAGGUGGUCUGAGAGGACGAUCACCCAGACUGGGACUGAGACACGGCCCAGACUCUACGGGAGGCAGCAGUCGGGAAUUUUGCGCAAUGGACGAAAGUCUGACGCAGCAACGCCGCGUGAGGGAUGAAGGCUUCGGGUUGUAAACCUCUUUUGUCAGGGAAGAUGAUGACGGUACCUGACGAAUAAGUCACGGCUAACUACGUGCCAGCAGCCGCGGUAAUACGUAGGUGACAAGCGUUGUCCGGAUUUACUGGGCGUAAAGAGCGCGCAGGCGGUCGUUCAAGUCGAGUGUGAAACCCCCGGCUCAACUGGGGAGGGUCAUUCGAUACUGAUCGACUCGAAGGCAGGAGAGGGAAGUGGAAUUCCCGGUGUAGUGGUGAAAUGCGUAGAUAUCGGGAGGAACACCAGUGGCGAAGGCGACUUCCUGGCCUGUUCUUGNNGCUGAGGCGCGAAAGCUAGGGGAGAAACGGGAUUAGAUACCCCGGUAGUCC
rnacentral:rRNA from 1 species